CAAUAAAAAAAAAGCCAUAUUUUCAAUUGGAAACCUGUCCAAGUUAACACAAAGGCCUUGCUUUUUGGAUCAAUGGUACUCUCAGAUGAGCAAAGUAGUCUUUUAUUUAGUUUGGUGCAGAAAUAUAUUAUUAAAAGUAAACGCUUUAACCCUUGAUGUUAAUGCUUCAUCACCCAAUAGGAACCAAAGCAUUUCACACUGUAUACAUUACAAUAAUUCAUGUUUAUUUUUAUUUUUUUUUCUCAUUAAAUUUUUUUUCUUCUUCUUCUUUCACCUUUUUCAUAUUCAUAUAUUUAUUACAGAGCAUGCCAGUAUUUAUAU
rnacentral:lncRNA from 1 species